AGAGGUAUGAGGAAUUCGAUAUUGGGGAAAAAAUAAGGGUUUGGCGUGCUUAAUUGAUGAAGAAUUGUCUGCCUUUUUUUCUUUCUAAGUUUUGUUUUUUUCCCCAAGUUUUAAAAACGUGUUUUUCCUCUUUACAACUUAAAUUUUUUUUCCACCUCAGUAACAACUCUCUUAGUUGGCAAUGAAUUUGUGGACAACUUGUACAGGUCACCCUUCUGUUAGACACGUGGCCAAAAUUGUCAAAUUUUACUAACGGAAUGAAGUCAGUGAUGAAUGGGAUCCCAAAUGGCAAAGUUGAGUGACUAUCUAGGAGAUUUCUAAAGUUCAGUGAUCCCUUGGGUACAUUCGGCAAAGUUCGGUGACCAUUUAGGGUAUUAGCCCUGUUUUCAUAUACUUCAAAAAUAGAGAAAAUUAUGUGUCACCACUCAUGAAAUCCUUGUAAUUUUGAUUAUUCUCGAACAAUUUAAAAGUGAAAAGAUCUGGUACUCUCCUCCCCCUAAUAAAAUGCAGUAACAAUGCAGAUUAAAUCAAUAGAUAUAGGGUACAAUUCUACUAAUUGCCUUCGUGAAACUCCAAAAUAUCUAAUUAGUUUAGCCAUAAUUCAACUAUUGCUGAUUUAUGGAUGUCUCUGAAUUUAAAUGGGUCACGAUAUAUGCACCAUACAAUUUUAUUACAUACAAGAGACAAUAACAAUAAUUUGACACCAUGUACAUGACAUUACGAAAAAUAUGAAUGUUUUAUAUUUUAGGUUGCAAAAAAACACCAUGUGAUCUUUUUAUAUUCCUUAAGGAACAUCCGAUGAAUCCUCUUUGAUAUUUCACUCUCUGGGACAUUAUAAAUAUUAAGUAGUAAUGAAAUUUGGAUUAAAAAAAAGUAUCUUAUUUAUGGCUAGAAUGAAUUGUAAACUCAUUGUGUCUAUAUUUUCUUAUGCAUAAUGGGAUUUGUCUUAAAAUUUAAAUGAUUAUCAUAUUUGUGAGUUUCGGAUUGGGAAUCUAUCUAAGAUUAACGAUGGAAUUGCAUGUAUUCCGCAUGGAUCCUGAUUUUGUAUAUUCAUGUCUUCGAAAGGGGACCUAAGGAUCUAUACAAAAUUGGAUGAUGACUCAAGUAUACAAUUUUGUGUAGUUCAAGAGUUUACGUUUCAUUUUCCAUAGUAAAAUUACAUUUACACCCACUAAGAACAUUUCCAAUAAACUCUUCAAAUGUAAUAAAAGGUCAAAUCUUAAAUUUUAGUUUCAAUAGAAUGAAUACACUAUUUAUUUAUUUAUUUUUUUUAAAACAAUUAUGCUAUUCAAACAUAUGGGAUGACCAAAGUGGUAACCGAAUGAUGUGGUCUAAAAAAAGGAAAAGGGAAAGUAAUUUACUUCAAAACUGAGUCCAACUGGUUCGGGCACCCAUUUACUUCUUAUUAUGCAGGCAAAAUUCAACCCAAUUUUCUUUCCAUUUUAGCCCUUUGGCGCAAAUUGCAAACUUGCAGUUGCAUCUUUCUGUCUUUAUUUUUUACCUCGUGUUUCGAUGAUGCCGAAAACAGAGAGAAAGCUACCAUUCGAAAUUUGGCUACACAUCCACCUGU
rnacentral:lncRNA from 1 species